rnacentral:rRNA from 1 species
GAUCAUGGCUCAGGAUGAACGCUGGCGGCGUGCUUAACACAUGCAAGUCGAACGAAGCACUUAAGAUUGACUCUUCGGAUGAUUUCUUUUGUGACUUAGUGGCGGACGGGUGAGUAACGCGUGGGUAACCUGCCUCACACAGGGGGAGUAACAGUUAGAAAUGACUGCUAAUACCGCAUAACCCGACUAGGAUCGCAUGAUCCAGACGGAAAAGAAUUUAUCGGUGUGAGAUGGACCCGCG